rnacentral:tRNA from 1 species
GGAGAGGUGGCUGAGUUGGUCGAAGGCGCUCGAUUGGAAAUCGAGUAGGGGGUGAGUAACUCCCUCAAGGGUUCAAAUCCCUUCCUCUCCGCCA